rnacentral:rRNA from 1 species
GGGGCGGUCUCCUCCUAAAGAGUAACGGAGGAGCACGAAGGUUGGCUAAUCCUGGUCGGACAUCAGGAGGUUAGUGCAAUGGCAUAAGCCAGCUUGACUGCGAGCGUGACGGCGCGAGCAGGUGCGAAAGCAGGUCAUAGUGAUCCGGUGGUUCUGAAUGGAAGGGCCAUCGCUCAACGGAUAAAAGGUACUCCGGGGAUAACAGGCUGAUACCGCCCAAGAGUUCAUAUCGACGGCGGUGUUUGGCACCUCGAUGUCGGCUCAUCACAUCCUGGGGCUGAAGUAGGUCCCAAGGGUAUGGCUGUUCGCCAUUUAAAGUGGUACGCGAGCUGGGUUUAGAACGUCGUGAGACAGUUCGGUCCCUAUCUGCCGUGGGCGCUGGAGAACUGAGGGGGGCUGCUCCUAGUACGAGAGGACCGGAGUGGACGCAUCACUGGUGUUCGGGUUGUCAUGCCAAUGGCACUGCCCGGUAGCUAAAUGCGGAAGAGAUAAGUGCUGAAAGCAUCUAAGCACGAAACUUGCCCCGAGAUGAGUUCUCCCUGAGACUUUAAGUCUCCUGAAGGAACGUUGAAGACGACGACGUUGAUAGGCCGGGUGUGUAAGCGCAGCGAUGCGUUGAGCUAACCGGUACUAAUGAACCGUGAGG